rnacentral:rRNA from 1 species
AUUGAACGCUGGCGGCAGGCCUAACACAUGCAAGUCGAAUGGUAACAGGAAACAGCUUGCUGUUUCGCUGACGAGUGGCGGACGGGUGAGUAAUGUCUGGGAAACUGCCUGAUGGAGGGGGAUAACUACUGGAAACGGUAGCUAAUACCGCAUAACGUCGCAAGACCAAAGAGGGGGACCUUCGGGCCUCUUGCCAUCAGAUGUGCCAGAUGGGAUUAGCUAGUAGGUGGGUAACGGCUCACCUAGGCGACGAUCCCUAGCUGGUCUGAGAGGAUGACCAGCCACACUGGAACUGAGACACGGUCCAGACUCCUACGGGAGCAGCAGUGGGAAUAUUGCACAAUGGGCGCAAGCCUGAUGCAGCCAUGCCGCGUGUAUGAAGAAGGCC